UGCCGAAGCAGUUCAAGCCUUGUUAUCGUCUGUUGCUUUUUCUGUAAGUCGUCAAUUCUGGAUCAACCCAAAUUUUGAUUGUACUUUUACGGUACGCACUGUAUGAUGGUUAACAUGCCCUUGGAGCGCUUUCCUGUUAGGGGAAUUUGUUCCAAAUAUGCAAAGCAGAAAGGGAAAUUCAAACCUUCUAGACGAGUCUUCUCAAGGUGCCAAAAUGUUCAGUUUGUCACUUUCUACUCAAACUAUUAUUUUUGUUUUUUAUUCUUUCAGGAUCUGUCAACUCCUCACAGAAAUUACACUAUCGCGAAGGUGUAUGUUUACGAUUUCCUUGACAUGAUUUGUCGUGGUCCUAAAUCACCGUGGGAAGCCCCGAUUAAACUGCAUCAUUUAUCUUCCAACGUCGCCCUUUACGUCAUAUGUGUCGGGAUGACGAGGACCAGGCUUGAGGAAAAAAAUGUAGAGUUGACUGCAUUGAAACUUCAAACUUCUGCGUCUUAAAGAAAUCGCUAGGUAACUUCAUACGCUAAUAGUAGCAACAGUGAACAGAAAAAAGUCUAUCGUCGGGGCACGAUGACUUGCAGGAUAGCGUGCGGAGUGUGGCCGUCAGCAAAUUUGAACAAAAGCAAUAAACCCAAAUUGGGAGUCAGUCGAGCGAGUUUGGCCAUCUCGCCAAGGUCCAUAGCGUCAUGUGGUUGAAUGGGUGUCCAGCUAAGCUCCUCCGGCUUCCCUCCAGACAGUUUUUCUUGGUUGUCUAAGCUGUCUCGUACAUGUGGCCGACACGUUUGCAAGUGUGUAGAGAGAAAGUACAGGUCCCGUACGCAACGGAAAUGAUCUCGCUGGAAAAGAUGCAUCGCUUUGUUUUUAGUGGGAGUGGGUUUUAACCAACAACACGCGUAUCUCUCGCCCCGAGCAGAUAAUGGACGUCCCGAGAAGGUGUAUUACGAACAAACAUCCAACCACAAGAUUCUGUACGCUCGAUUCAUCGGACCGGAACCGGGAAAUCGAGCGCCCUCGGCGACUGAAAUUUUUCGGGUCAACGUAACUCUCCUGUCUUUUUCGGCACUUGUUUUACGUCUCCAGAUAUCCAACAGUGACAUUGAUUUGCAUUUGGACCGGCGCUACGCAAAGGAGGCCGGAGCGCAUCCAAGCUAAAAAAAAAAAGAGAUAUGCAGGACAUCGCAACUUCAAUAGUUUCUUUUUGAACGCAAUGUUUUAUCGUUGAUCAUCAAUCGUCCGCUCUCUUCUUCUCGAAAAGGGAUUCGCUGUUUAUGAUAUGGUCGGAAGGACGAAAUGUACAGUGGGUGCCAUUUAUCACUGAAAGAUAAGUACGAGACGGUAGUUGUAGAACAAUGAGCUAGAACAUUUACUAUCCCGCACGGAGGAAGCGGCAGAUGGCGCUCUACGGGAGUGUAGCAUGUCGUGGAGCACGCGCAAAACUCCCCCCUUGGUCCGUUCGUCCUCCCCGCCAAGUGAAUUGAAAUGUUGUUAUAUACAGUGAGAGAACUGCAUGCAGAAGAGUUGGAGAAAGUUAUCCGCUAUAGUUGGCCGAUCGGGACCCUCUCCGGCCAAGAAGCGAAUCGGCAGUCUGAUCGCAACCAACCGUCUUUCUACUAGUAUUUCAUCUAGAUCUAUAUUAAACUACCACUAAAG